AACGUAGGAGCCAAGCGUUAUCCGAAUUCACUGGGCGUAAAGCGCGUGCAGGCGGUUUGGUAAGUUGGAUGUGAAAUCUCCUGGCUCAACUGGGAGAGGACGUUCAAUACUGUCAGACUAGAGGGCGACAGAGGGAGGUGGAAUUCCCGGUGUAGUGGUGAAAUGCGUAGAUAUCGGGAGGAACACCAGUGGCGAAGGCGGCCUCCUGGGUCGCACCUGACGCUCAGACGCGAAAGCUAGGGGAG
rnacentral:rRNA from 1 species